rnacentral:lncRNA from 1 species
CAUCUAAACAUAGGACUAUACAGCCUCACUACACAAGGGCCCGAGUCAAAGCUUCUCUGAUAGAAGAGAGAUCAGUUUCAGAGAGUGGUGCAAAGUGAAGAUAGGGAAACAAGAGUGUAAAUGCAUCCAAGAAGUUUAGCUUUGAAGAGGAAGAGAGAGCAGGGUAUGUAACUAAAGAGGAAUAAAGGAUCCAGGUAGGUUUUGUGUUUGCUUUUGAAUGAUGUGACAGUUGUGCAUGUUUAGAUGACAAGAAGGAG